UACGUAGGCAGCGAGCGUUGUUCGGAGUUACUGGGCGUAAAGGGUGUGUAGGCGGUUGUUUAAGUUUGGUGUGAAAUCUCCCGGCUCAACUGGGAGGGUGCGCCGAAUACUGAAUGACUUGGAGUGCGGGAGAGGUGAGUGGAAUUCCUGGUGUAGCGGUGAAAUGCGUAGAUAUCAGGAGGAACACCGGUGGCGAAGGCGGAUCUCUGGGCCUUACCUGACGCUCAGGCGCGAAAGCUAGGGGAGCGAACUGG
rnacentral:rRNA from 1 species